ensembl:processed_transcript
CUUUCAAUCAUGAGUUUUUUCUUCCAGAUCUUCUGUAAUGUUGCUGUUUCUCUCCUACUGCUAUCGCUUAGUGUUAGCGGCACCUCAAAUGGGACUGAGCCGCACUGUGAUGUAAAGCUGAAAGUGCCACGACAAACAAUCUUUAAAGCUCGUAUUAUGACACAGCUAAAGAUAAACUGUACUGUAACUCAUAAUGGAUGUCAGUGGAACCCAAUAAUCUCAUGGUGCAAAAUCUAUGGAGAUCACUGUAAAGCUUUAAAUCACUCAGACCUUAUAAAGAUGGAGUGUAGAAAUACAGCACAGCAUGAAGGGAUGGCUUUCCUGAUUUUCCAGAACAUCACAAUGGAGAAUUCAGGUUCAUACAGAUGUACACAUGGUGACACGUCUGUAAGCCAUGCUAUUAAUGUUACCAUUACAGGUUAGUAAAAUGUAAAUAUUUACACAUUUCAUUGAAUAAAAAUAUUAAAUGUACUACAAUAUUCUACUGCAUUUUCAGGAAAUGGUGAAGAUGAAUUUUCACACAAUCAAAGUAACAAAAGUAAAUGAUUUUAAUUCAGUUCCAGACAAUGGUCUGAAGUGGUUGUGGCCAUAUGUGUACAUCUGCAGUGGAAUAGCGGCGCUGGUGAUCAUCAUUAUAACCAUAACAUUAUUUGUCUUCAAUUGCCAAGACACAAAAUCCAAAACAGAAGAACUGACAAAUAAAAAUCAGUACAUGGAAACUCAAAGUAGUGACCUGCUUCCUCCUCCUCUUCCU